rnacentral:rRNA from 1 species
UGAGUAACCUGCCCUUAACUCUGGGAUAGGCCUGGGAAACUGGGUCUAAUACCGGAUAUGACUCCUAAUCGCAUGGUGGGGGGUGGAAAGCUUUAUUGUGGUUUUGGAUGGACUCGCGGCCUAUCAGCUUGUUGGUGAGGUAAUAGCUCACCAAGGCGAUGACGGGUAGCCGGCUGAGAGGGUGACCGGCCACACUGGGACUGAGACACGGCCCAGACCUCCCGACGGGGAGGCAG